UACGUAGGGGGCAAGCGUUGUCCGGAUUUAUUGGGCGUAAAGAGCGUGUAGGCGGCCAGACAGGUCUGCUGUGAAAACUCGAGGCUCAACCUCGAGACGCCGGUGGAAACCGUCUGGCUAGAGUCCGGAAGAGGAGAGUGGAAUUCCUGGUGUAGCGGUGAAAUGCGCAGAUAUCAGGAAGAACACCGGUGGCGAAGGCGGUUCUCUGGGCCUUACCUGACGCUGAGGAGCGAAAGCGUGGGGAGCGAACAGG
rnacentral:rRNA from 1 species